GACGAACGCUGGCGGCGUGCUUAACACAUGCAAGUCGAACGGAAAGGCCCUGCUUUUGUGGGGUGCUCGAGUGGCGAAAGGGUGAGUAACACGUGAGUAACCUGCCCUUGACUUUGGGAUAACUUCAGGAAACUGGGGCUAAUACCGGAUAGGAGCUCCUGCUGCAUGGUGGGGGUUGGAAAGUUUCGGCGGUUGGGGAUGGACUCGCGGCUUAUCAGCUUGUUGGUGGGGUAGUGGCUUACCAAGGCGUUGACGGGUAGCCGGCCUGAGAGGGUGACCGGCCACAUUGGGACUGAGAUACGGCCCAGACUCCUACGGGAGGCAGCAGUGGGGAAUAUUGCACAAUGGGCGGAAGCCUGAUGCAGAAACGCCGCGUGCGGGAUGACGGCCUUCGGGUUGGAAACCGCUUUCGCCUGUGACGAAGCGUGAGUGACGGUAAUGGGUAAAGAAGCACCGGCUAACUACGUG
rnacentral:rRNA from 1 species